AGCAUUUUUAAAUCAGCAGCAGCAGUGCUUAAGGCGGGUGGUUACUUGUAAAAUAUGUUUAUCUCAGAUCCAUGGCAACAGCAAUGCUUAUAUCAUUCCUAUGUGCUUAUUGAAAGUGGCUUUAUGUUUUCCCUGUGCCAGCAAGAAAGAGAGAAGUAGAGGAGAAGCAUAACCUUCCUUGAAGUGUCCCUGCUGAAUUGGCUUUUGCAGCCUAGAUGAACCAUCUGCCUCAUCCUGAUCAGCUGGAUCCAGAUCAGAAAAAAACAGCAAGCUUCCUGGGCUACUUAUGAUUCCUGAUUUCAGAAAGCCCAUGAGCGGAUUUCCCACAUCGCAAAAUACAGAAAGCCUGGAGGGAAGGAAUCUCGGAUUUCUGUAAUCCUAGAGAAAUUAUUCUACCAUAACAGAUCGAAAAUCCAUGGCCUUCUCAUAAGUAAGAUAGAAGAAUCUCACAUCCACUCAUAAGAAUUUCAAUGCAUGCUAUGUUCUAUUUUGAAAAGGAAAAAUCCAAAGGAAUUUGCUUUUUUUUCCCCUCCGACUGAAUGAAAAGGAAGAAGAAAAUUGAAGAAGAAAUUUUUCACGGAACAGUUCAUUAAGGACUAGCCAUUACUUCAUAUUUCACUUUACAGAGAGUUCUAAGAGUUUUUUCCUUCUACUACAUUUGGUGUGUGGUUAAUAUUUAACAAAAAAGUAGCAGAAAAAGGCAGACAUGAAGACGUGAAGUCACUGACUGGUGUUAGUUACGUCUUAACUCUUCUGUUUCGGGAUUUUUUUCUUCCCAAUUCCCUUCUUUCUUUUAAGAAAGCAUUCCAAAAAUCAUGCUUAUUAACUGUUCAAUGAUUGGCUACCAUUAUUAGGAUCUCUA